UACGUAGGGACCAAGCGUUGUUCGGAUUUACUGGGCGUAAAGGGCGCGUAGGCGGCAAUUCAAGUCAUCUGUGAAAUCUCCGGGCUUAACUCGGAACGGUCAGAUGAUACUGCUUUGCUAGAGUGCGGGAAGGGGCAAUCGGAAUUCUCGGUGUAGCGGUGAAAUGCGUAGAUAUCGAGAGGAACACCUGAGGUGAAGACGGGUUGCUGGGCCGACACUGACGCUGAGUGCGCGAAAGCCAGGGGAGCAAACGGG
rnacentral:rRNA from 1 species